rnacentral:ncRNA from 1 species
UCCCGACUUCGGAAGGGAUGUAUUUAUUAGAUAAAAAACCAAUGCCCUCCGGGGCUCCCUUGGUGAUUCACAAUAACUCGACGAAUCGCAUGGCCUUGCGCCGGCGAUGGUUCAUUCAAAUUUCUGCCCUAUCAACUUUCGAUGGUAAGGUAGUGGCUUACCAUGGUCUCAACGGGUAACGGGGAAUUAGGGUUCGAUUCCGGAGAGGGAGCCUGAGAAACGGCUACCACAUCCAAGGAAGGCAGCAGGCGCGCAAAUUACCCAAUCCCAACACGGGGAGGUAGUGACAAUAAAUACUGAUACAGGGCUCUUUCGGGUCUUGUAAUUGGAAUGAGUACAAUCUAAAUCCCUUAACGAGGAACAAUUGGAGGGCAAGUCUGGUGCCAGCAGCCGCGGUAAUUCCAGCUCCAAUAGCGUAUAUUAAAGUUGUUGCCGUUAAAAAGCUCGUAGUUGAACCUUGGGUCUGGCCGAUCUGUCCUCCUAAUCGAGCGCACGGAUUCAGCCGGACCUUUCCUUCUGGGGAGCCCGAUGCCCUUUACUGGGCGUCGCGGGGAACCAGGACUUUUACCUUGAAAAAAUUAGAGUGUUCAAAGCAGGCAUUUGCUCGAAUACAUUAGCAUGGAAUAAUAGAAUAGGACAGAGGUUCUAUUUUGUUGGUUUCUAGGACCGCUGUAAUGAUUAAUAGGGAUAGUCGGGGGCGUCCGUAUUCAAUUGUCAGAGGUGAAAUUCUUGGAUUUAUUGAAGACGAACUACUGCGAAAGCAUUCGCCAAGGAUGUUUUCAUUAAUCAGUGAACGAAAGUUAGGGGAUCGAAGACGAUCAGAUACCGUCGUAGUCUUAACCAUAAACUAUGCCGACUAGGGAUCGGACGGUGGUUCUUUUAUGCCCCGUUCGGCACCUUACGAGAAAUCAAAGUGUUUGGGCUCGGGGGGGAGUAUGGUCGCAAGGCUGAAACUUAAAGAAAUUGACGGAAGGGCACCACAAGGCGUGGAGCCUGCGGCUUAAUUUGACUCAACACGGGGAAACUCACCAGGUCCAGACAUGCUUAGGAUUGACAGAUUGAUAGCUCUUUCUUGAUUGUAUGGGUGGUGGUGCAUGGCCGUUUUUAGUUGGUGGAGUGAUUUGUCUGCUUAAUUGCGUUAACGAACGAGACCUUGACCUGCUAAAUAGUCCCACCCACUUUGGUGGGUGGCCGACUUCUUAGAGGGACUUUUGGCUCAAGCCAAUGGAAGUACGAGGCAAAAACAGGUCUGUGAUGCCCUUAGAUGUUCUGGGCCGCACGCGCGCUACACUGACAGAGCCAGCGAGUACACCACCUUGGCCGAAAGGUCUGGGUAAUCUUGUUAAACUCUGUCGUGCUGGGGAUAGAGCAUUGCAAUUAUUGCUCUUCAACGAGGAAUGCCUAGUAAGCGCAAGUCAUCAGCUUGCGUUGAUUACGUCCCUGCCCUUUGUACACACCGCCCGUCGCUACUACCGAUUGAAUGGCUCAGUGAGGCCUUGGGAUUGGCCAGGGGAGGUGGGCGACCACCACCCCAGGCCGAAAACUUGGUCAAACUUGGUCAUUUAGAGGAAGUAAAAGUCGUAACAAGGUUUCCGCAGACGUCAGUCUCGGGAUAAGUUGAUGCAUCCUUCUGCAGUGAACACUUAUUGGAAGCCUUUAAGAGCUGCCGGAAACGGUGAGGUUUCGACGACUGUAAACAACAGAAACCCAAGAGCUAGUGGAAGACCGGCCGUCUGGCGGGCGUUCUUUCGCGACACUGUCAAAUUGCGGGGAUCCCCUUAGAGCUUGUCGCUACCAAGCGCCGUCUCGAACAGAGCGGCGUGGCCAGGGUAAUUCCCUCGGGUACGGUCACAACGCGCAAGAUUGGGUAACCUGCAGCCAAGUCCUACCGGCCGUUUUAGGCCCACGGAUGCUGUUCACAGACUAAAUGGUAGUGGGUGACGAAGCCCUCCGUCGUUGGAGGGUAGAGUCGCUUAAGAUAUAGUCGGGCUCCCGGGGAGACUCGGGGGAAAAGUUCACAAGGCCGUGGGGGCGACCCCCUCACGGACCUGCACCAUAAACCGUUCCGUAGGUGAACCUGCGGAAGGAUCAUUA